GGGGGGGACCCAUAGAUUGGGGGGGGACCCAUAGAUUGGAUGGGGGGGACCCAUAGAUUAGGGGGGGGACCCAUAGAUUGGAUGCGGGGGACCCAUAGAUUGGGGGGGGGACCCAUAGAUUAUGGGGGGGGACCCAUAGAUUGGAUGGGGGGGACCCAUAAUUGCGGGGGGGGGCUGACCCAUAGAUUUGGGUCCCACUCAUAGGAGACCCCUCCGCAUAGGAAGCCCUUCCUAUAUGGGACCCCAUAGGAGACCCCAGCCCAUAUAAGACCCCCUCAUAGGAGACCCCAGCCCAUAUAAGACCGCCCCAUAGGAGACCCCAGCCCAUAUGAGACCCAGCCCCAUAGGCAGACCCCUCCCAUACAACCCCUUCCUCAUCAUGACCCCUCCCUCCCCCCCCCAUUUAGGAAGCCCUCCUACUAUAUGGCGACACCCUUAGGCACGUUUUCCCCCCCCACCCACCCCAUCUCUCUCCCCCCUUAUCCCUCAUCUUGGGACCUGGAUGGACAGAUGGACAUCAGGAUGGACAGACAGACAGACAGGGACCCGGAUGGACAGAUGGAUAUCAGGAUGGACAGACAGACAGACAGACAAGGACCUGGAUGGACAUUAUGAUGGGUGGGGGACCUGGAUGGACAGACAGACAGACAGACAGACAUGGACCUGGAUGGACAGAUGGACAUCAGGAUGGAUGGACAGACAGACAGAUGGGGACCUGGAUGGACAGCUGGACAUCAGGAUGGACGGACAGAUGGGGACCUGGAUGGACAGAUGGAUGGAUGGGGAGCUGGAUGGACAGAUGGACAUCAGGAUGGACAGACAGACAGACAGAUGGGGACCUGGAUGGGUAGAUGGGGACCCGGAUGGACAGAUGGACAUCAGGAUGGAUGGACAGACAGAUGGGGACCUGGAUGGACAGCUGGAUGGAUGGGGACCUGGAUGGACAGACAGACAGACAGAUGGGGACCUGGAUGGACAUUAGGAUGGACUGGGGACUCGGAUGGACAGAUGGACAUCAGGAUGGACAGAUGGAAAGACAGACAGACAGACAGGGACCUGGAUGGACAUUAGGAUGGGUGGGGACCCAGAUGGACAGACAGAUGGACAUCAGGAUGGACAGACAGACAGACAGAUGGGGACCUGGAUGGACAUUAUGAUGGGUGGGGGACCUGGAUGGACAGAUGGACAUCAGGAUGGCCGUACAUACAGACAUACAGACAUACAGACAUACAGACAUACCCCCCACCCCCACCUUUAUCCCGUUCCCAUCCCGGCCGCCCAGCAGCAACACGGAGGCGGCGGCGGCGGAAGCGGCGGCGGCUCCGAGCAGGAUCCCGAGCAACAACGGGACCAAGAAACGACGGCGACGAUGACGAUGAUGAUGAUGGAGGUGAUGAAGGUGAUGGAGACCACGAGGGGGGGGGGACAUGAUGGAGCUGGAUGGAGGCAGCGGAGGAGCAGGAGCUUAUAGAGGGAGGAGGGCGGUUUCCCUAUCGGGGUUGGGGUGCCUAUCCUAUGGGGUGGUGGGUCUCCUAUGGGGGUGGGGGG
ensembl:lncRNA